UUGAGAGACAUGGUAUUGGGUAGGAAAGUGGGUCGGGUACUGCUGAGUGCAACCUCAUCGCUGCCUUUGCUGUUGCUGGCGCUCUCGCUCAGCCUCACCCUAUGAUGCCCCUCCUGCAGUCACUCAUCCAUAGCCUGGGCCCCCUCUGUGAUCGUGGACCUCAUCUGGGUGCAGUACCAGCAGCAACCACCACCUCCUCAGUGGUGCUAGCAAGCAAUGGACAGCCCCUGUUCGGAGUGACUGGAAGCUCUUGGUGCAUGGGCCCUGUGUGUCCAGGGUCCUUAAUCCUGGGAAGGCCCACCACUGCCUGACUGACAUGUAGUGCAGCAAGUCUUCCUGAAAAAUGGCAACACAGGGCUCUCACUGGCUCUUCAGCUAACAGCAUCGCAUCAAUGACAAUGAAACAGCCGGUUCGACCAACUCCAGCACUGAAAGGUGAAUUGAAAUAAUUCAGGUCGUGUUGCUGGGGCUGUUCCCCACAGGAUGGCAUUAAGUGUCCCUGACCUAGACUAAUGAAGAAAGAUUCUUGCUGCUGGGUGAGGUCCAUAAGCCAACAGCUGACUGGAUGUCUGUUCUCACACAUGACGAAUGGGCUUAUGAGCAAGAUUUACCAGUGUCCUGCUCCGAAUGGGGUGAUGCAGUGAAUCAAUGCAUUGUGGAGAGAAACAGCAAGGCAUCCUAAACAGUACUAAUCCUCACUUACUGAUCUUUAAAAUA